GCUUUGGCCAACUGGCACAGGUUCUGCUUGGUCAGAGCAGACAGACAUCGCGCCGCGCUUCAACGGUGAAGCAUGGCGCCCCCUUCGACGGGGACGGACAAAGGCGUCCUACCGGGAAACCGGUGGGACGCC
rnacentral:sRNA from 1 species